rnacentral:rRNA from 1 species
UACGAACUGUGCAAACGUUAUUCGGAAUCACUGGGCUUAAAGGGUGCGUAGGCGGCUUAUCAAGUAGGGUGUGAAAGCCCCCCGGCUUAACCGGGGAAUUGCGCCCUAAACUGACGAGCUGGAGUGGGACAGGGGUGUGUGGAACUUCCGGUGGAGCGGUGAAAUGUGUUGAUAUCGGAAGGAACGCCGGUGGCGAAAGCGACACACUGGGUCUCAACUGACGCUGAGGCACGAAAGCCAGGGGAGCGAACGGG